GAUGAACGCUGGCGGCGUGCCUAAUACAUGCAAGUCGAGCGAACAGAUAAGGAGCUUGCUCCUUUGACGUUAGCGGCGGACGGGUGAGUAACACGUGGGUAACCUACCUAUAAGACUGGAAUAACUCCGGGAAACCGGGGCUAAUGCCGGAUAACAUGUUGAACCGCAUGGUUCUACAGUGAAAGGCGGCUUUGCUGUCACUUAUAGAUGGACCCGCGCCGUAUUAGCUAGUUGGGGAGGUAACGGCUCACCAAGGCAACGAUACGUAGCCGACCUGAGAGGGGGGUCGGCCACACUGGAACUGAGACACCGUCCAGACUACUACGGGAGGCAGCAGUAGGGAAUCUUCCGCAAAGGGCGAAAGCCUGACGGAGCAACGCCGCGUGAGUGAUGAAGGUCUUCGGAUCGUAAAACUCUGUUAUUAGGGAAGAACAAAUGCGUAAGUAACUGUGCGCGUCUUGACGGUACCUAAUCAGAAAGCCACGGCUAACUACGUG
rnacentral:rRNA from 1 species